AUGCUCCUACGGGGGGCAGCAGUGAGGAAUAUUGGUCAAUGGCCGGAAGGCUGAACCAGCCAGGCCGCGUGAGGGAGGAAGGCGCAGAGCGUCGCAGACCUCUUUUGCCGGGGGACAAAAGUCCGGACUCGUCCGGUCCUGAGGGUACCCGGAGAAAAAGCAUCGGCUAACUCCGUGCCAGCAGCCGCGGUUAUACGGAGGAUGCGUGCGUUAUCCGGAUUCAUUGGGUUUAAAGGGUGCGCAGGCG
rnacentral:rRNA from 1 species